GACGAACGCUGGCGGCGUGCUUAACACAUGCAAGUCGAACGCUGAAGACCUGGCUUUUGUUGGGUUGGAUGAGUGGCGAACGGGUGAGUAACACGUGAGUAACCUGCCCUCUUCUUUGGGAUAACGCCCGGAAACGGGUGCUAAUACUGGAUAUUCACUGGCCUUCGCAUGGGGGUUGGUGGAAAGGUUUGUUCUGGUGGGGGAUGGGCUCGCGGCCUAUCAGCUUGUUGGUGGGGUGAUGGCCUACCAAGGCUUUGACGGGUAGCCGGCCUGAGAGGGUGACCGGUCACAUUGGGACUGAGAUACGGCCCAGACUCCUACGGGAGGCAGCAGUGGGGAAUAUUGCACAAUGGGCGAAAGCCUGAUGCAGCGACGCCGCGUGAGGGAUGGAGGCCUUCGGGUUGUGAACCUCUUUCGCUCAUGGUCAAGCCGCAACUGUGGGUUGUGGUGAGGGUAGUGGGUAAAGAAGCGCCGGCUAACUACGUG
rnacentral:rRNA from 1 species